AACGUACGCUGGCGGCAGGCCUAACACAUGCAAGUCGAGCGAAGCCUUCGGGCUUAGCGGCGGACGGGUGAGUAACGCGUGGGAACGUGCCCUUUGGUACGGAAUAGCCCCGGGAAACUGGGAGUAAUACCGUAUGUGGUCGAGAGACGAAAGAUUUAUCGCCAAAGGAUCGGCCCGCGUUGGAUUAGGUAGUUGGUGGGGUAAUGGCCUACCAAGCCGACGAUCCAUAGCUGGUUUGAGAGGAUGAUCAGCCACACUGGGACUGAGACACGGCCCAGACUCCUACGGGAGGCAGCAGAGGGGAAUCUUAGACAAUGGGGGAAACCCUGAUCUAGCCAUGCCGCGUGAUCGAUGAAGGCCUUAGGGUUGUAAAGAUCUUUCAGUGGGGAAGAUAAUGACUGUACCCACAGAAGAAGCCCCGGCUAACUCCGUGCCAGCCGCCGCGGUAAUAC
rnacentral:rRNA from 1 species